rnacentral:lncRNA from 7 species
UGUGCAAGGAUGUGUGAGGGCAGACAAUGGUGUGCAAUGGUGUGCAAAGGUGAGUAGGGGUUUGCAAGGAUGUGCAAAGGUGUGCAAGGGUGUGUGAUGUGCAAGGAGGUGAAAGGGUGUGCAAGGAUGUGUGAGGGCAGACAACGGUGUGCAGUGGUGUGCAAAGGAGAGUAGGGGUUUGCAAGGACAUGCAAAGGUGUGCAAGGGUGUGUGAUUUGCAAGGAGGUGAAAAGGUGUGCAAAGAUGUGUGAGGGCAGACAAUGGUGUGCAAAGGUGUGCAAAGGUGAGUAGGGGUUUGCAAGGGUGUGCAAAGGUGUGCAAGGAUGUGCAAAGGUGUGCAAGGGUGUGUGAUUUGCAAGGAGGUGCAAAGGUAUGCAAGGAUGCGUGAGGGCAGACAAUGGUGUGCAACGGUGUGCAAAGGUGAGUAGGGGUUUGCAAGGAUAUGCAAAGGUGUGCAAGGGUGUGUGAUUUGCAAGGAGGUGAAAAGGUGUGCAAGGAUGCGUGAGGGUAGACAACGGUGUGCAAUGGUGUGCAGGGGUGAGUAGGGGUUUGCAAGGAUGUGCGAAGGUGUGCAAGGAUGUGUGAGGGCAGACAAUGGUGUGCAAUGGUGUGCAAAGGUGAGUAGGGGUUUGUGCAAGGAUGUGAAAAGGUGUGCAAGGAUGGGUGAGGGCAGACAGCAGUGUGUAAUGGUGUGCAAAGGUGAGUAAGGAUAUAGGAUGCAGGA